CAAUGUUUUUAUCAUCGUGCAGUGCAAUCUGCUCUGUCAUUUUUAUUUAGAAGUUAAAAUUCUGAAGGGCUUGAAGUUGAAAAUGAAGCUCAAGUUUGCUCAUUCCCUUAUGUUUAUGCUUGUCCUGUCGUCCUUUUUAGACAUUGGGUUGAGCUAUCAAGGCCGAAAGUUGAUGGAUGAGCUUCAACUUCCAAGUGGAAUAUGUAAAGAUGUAUUUAAUAUAGAUUUCGGCAAAGUUAAUGUUUGCACUCCGAACUAUUGCGCUGGAGUUUGUGCAUCAAAGAAAUACAAAAGACUCCUUUCAGCAAGAUGUUCAGGUUAUCUGGAUUGUGAGUGCACUCACACCUGCUAAUUUAAAUGUAAGAUUGUAUUUCAAUGAAUAAUAUAUUAUGAUAAAUAAAAGUGGCUUAAGAAUUUGGAGAUAUGAAA